rnacentral:lncRNA from 1 species
CACACACACACACACACACACACACUCUCUCUCUCUCUCUCUCUCUCUCUCUCUCUUUCUCUCUCUCAGAAGCCAAAUGUAUGAGCAGGAAUUUCUUGUUUAAAAAGGCUCAUUUUUUUAAUCAUCGAUAUUGUCAACAAAUCUUCUCUAUUGCUUUCAACUCUACCCCAGUAUUUUGCCCCUCAAUACUUGAUCUCCAGAGGAAAUUCAGUAAGGCUUGCUGGAGUCUAAGAGAGAGCUAAUCAUCAAGGCUGCAAAUCUACAGCUUUUUAAUGGAUAUUUACUGUCAUUCAAAACAAAACAAACAAACAAACAAAAACUCAGACUUCUUUUAAAACCCUAACAGUCCCAUAUUCCUUCAAGGGUAAAAAAUACAAAUAUAUUGAACAGACUGCCGUCAGAAGAUACUAAUCCCUUAGAACUGUAUCAAUAAUUUAGAUGAAGUCACAAUUGCAUAAGGUUUGAAAAGAGAAUAAAAAACUUUGCAGAACCAAGGGACUUUAGACCGAGUAAGAGGCAUGUAUUCCAUUGUGAUUCAAUCGCAUCUACUUUGCUAAAUCCACUCAUUCUUACAAAGGGUUGCUUUAAAAAUGCACACAUACAGAAGCACAUUUUAAGUCUUCACCUUUCUGCUUUAAUAAAAAUGGAUGCUUAUGCUUUGUGGUCCUUGCCUUUGGAGUGGCACUAAAAAGAAGGCUAAAACAGAGGAUACAGAUGAAACCAAACCCAAGAAUUCAGAAGCAAGGUAAGCCACGGUAGGCAAUUCAGGGGUUAGCUCUACCCCACUGCUUAGGACACUGAUUGGUAAUCCUGUAACUCUGCCAUGUCCCCUUCUAACCAUUUCUCCCCGGCAGAGAUCAGAGCAGUCCAAGCUGGGCUGUUCAUCUAUUUUCUCUGUCCUUUACCCACUAACUGACCUCAUUUAACCCUUUAUUUCUUUAUCUCAGCUCUGAGUAGACAAACCAAGUGAGGACAGGAGAGCUUGACUUAGGGGGCUCCUGAUAAAUGCAUAUUUGGGUUGAGUUGCCCUGAUGGUUCAUAGCAAUCUCUAUCUCACCCCUGCAACCCCUUUAUUUGAGAGGGGAAAAAAAGAAAAAAGAAAAAAAAAAUCAAUCAGAAUGAUAUAUGACUCGUCAGUUCUGAACUAAAGCCCGGUCAUGUAGAAAAUAGACCAGGCCCCAUACUCUGAGUCCAAAAGAUAGGGUGAGCAAGCUCCAGCCUCAGGCACAAUUGUCUCUUGAAAACAAAACAAUGAAUGCACACAUGUAUAUCCCCCUAGAAACAGAUAUUUAUCUAACCUCUGCACCAAGUGCUUUCAGUUUUGCAAUGUCACCCAUGGUUUAUGCUGUUUCUCAAAGUUGCCACACUUAACCGGUGUGCUUAGGCAGUUUAGUAGGCUCGCUCGCAGAAAGCAAGAAAUGACUUUUGAAAACAUGCACACUUCUUUGGUCCCAGGGCCAUUCCCUUAGUUAAAGCCAUCAACAUCACUCACCCCAGCAUCCGCAGCAGCAUCCUAAUGGUGUCUUUUUCCUUUUCCAUAUUGUUCUCCAUUGUAUAAAUCUUACAGAUCAGGUCCCUUUGCUUCUUAAAAUUUCUCAGUUGUUUCCCAUGACUCUCAGAAUAAAGCUUAAACUCCUUGAUGAGGACUUCAGGCCAAAGAGAUCUGCCUUACUUACGUUUUCUGGGUAGCACUUGCUUUACCCUUUAAGUCCCCACACCUGGCUAGAUUCUAAGCAUCCUUCCAUAUUCCAAUUAGAUGUCUUCUUGUCCAGGAAGCUUUCCCUCACCCUGUCAAGUCUGACACAGAAGCUUCUACAUUUGGCUGGUCAAUGUACUAAUCAUACUUUCUUGAAGUUGCCUCUUUCCUUGAUCUGUAGUAUCCUUUGACAAUGAAUGGACUGUAUGUUAUUGUUUCACAUUUUUAAUGUUCACUGUCUGCCCUAUGAAUAAUGGUAUAAAUAUUUGUUGAGUGUGAAUAAAUGAAUGUGUGAAUGAGUGAGUGAAUCCAGAUGACAUACUCUGGUUCUCUGGACACACUCAUAACCCGCAACUCUAGGAUCUGCAAAGCCCAGCAGUACUCAGGGUUAGACUCCUCAGAAGGUAACAGGGUGGGGACCCAGUUGGGCAGAGACUUUGGGGAAGAUCUUUGAUCUUUUUACUAUAAAACUGGGAUGAAAGGAGACCCAAGGGUCUCUCACCAUGCAAGUCCUUCAUGAACAAUGGAGCAAGGUGGGAGUUUCUCACACUCCUUCCUGGGGCUCAUUUAGCCAUAAAACCAAGCUAUCAUGUUGUGGUAGAAACUGGCUAGCUGAUUUCAGUCACUUAUUCACUACAAUCUAGAAGCAUGUAUUGAGAAAGAAGCUUCAGCAAAACUUCAAAUUGUAUUUGACUUUGAAUUUAAAUGGAACUUACAUAUUUCUACAAGUACAGACAGGGAGAGAUAUCCAGGACAUAUGUUGACUGUAUACACCAUUUAUUAAAACUAAAACUUUUAGGGCAAGGGUGUGUGUGUGUGUGCAUGCACGUUCCUGUUUGUAAAGUCAGAGCAAAUGGUUUUUGACAUCUGCACAUUGAAAUGUUAACAGUGGUUCCCACUUGAGAGGCGACUAAGGUUGCAGAUAGUCAGAAAGGACUUCUAUGUUUUUCUUGAUAUUCUUCAUUACAUUUUGAAACCUUUUUCAAUAGCAUGUAUUAAUCAUGUGAUUACAAAAGAAGAGGCAGGGAGAGAAAAAAUAGAGAGGUCUCUGAUCUUCUCUUUAGUUCUGCUGAAAAGAAUAGUCCUGUAUCCUAAUAGUCAACUGUGAUCCCGUUUCAAACGUGUUCCCUGCAUAUUAGAACUGGUGGCCAUAACUGGAACACACAUCAUAAAUCUUUCACAACUUUAAUUUCAUCUCAAGUUUGAUGUAGAACUGUCUAUUAUAAACAACCUUAAGAUAGAGAAAAUAGAAAACAAUAGACGAACAGAAAAAUAUGCAGCUAAUUUAUCAUCCUUUAGAUUUCCUUUUUAAUAAUAACUUUAUUUUUUUCUAGAUCAGUAGAAAUCACAUUCAGUUCUACGUGUUGGUUUAGUUGCAAGUGAACAAAGAACCUCAACAAAAAUAUAAACAUAACAAAAGUGGACACUUUAGAAAAGAUUAACAUGGAUUUUUUUUUUGUCCCCAGAGCACUGGAACAAACAGUUCUCCCUAAUCAUUCACUUUUGUUCCUACUUGGUAAAUGGUGCCACCUUACUUCAGAAUGUGUGAUUGCAAAAGUAUGGGCAGAAGCCCUGUCUUGGGGUCUCCUGGGGUACUAACUAGGUCUUUAUGAUCAUAUAUCUCCUGGCUAUAAUUAUCCUGACACCGUCACCCACUGACUUAAACAAUCACCUUUACAAUAAUACCCUCAGCAUGCAGAAAGCCCCUGAUUAUGUAAGCUCCAAGCAGGAACACCUGGGACAAAGCGCCCCAUGGGGAACCUCUCAGAUAAGCUACUUGAUUUCUUAAUCCUUCUGUCCUUCGGUCAAAUCAGCUGGAAAGCAGGAAUAGGGAAAGGGGUGGGAAAAACCUCCUGAGGAAUCAGAGGCUGAGUCUGAGCCAGAUGCAACUUCUAUUUUGAUUGAGAGAUGAAAAGUCAUCAUUUUAAUUCAGGUCAAAUAAGCAUUCCUGAAAGAAGCCAAGAGGUGAGCUGGAGUUUAAGAUAUUUCUCCAUGGAAUUUUCUGUGUUUCUUUCAAGUCCACUGAAUGAUGCCAAAAAUGUGCAGAAGAAGAAAGAUCUUGGCUUCUCUCUGCACGAGUUUGAGGGUGUGAAUGAAAAGUUCUGCAGUCAUCGUCUCCAUGGGAAAAAAAAAAUCUGAUUUUAGUAACAUCUUGCCAUAUACAAGAGUUAUUUUUUGAAAAAGUUUCUAAGCUUGUCAAAAUAUUCCUAGGUGCGAGUUUAGUGUUUCUUGAAAAACUGAAGAGGCAGAAGGUAAAAAAGCAAACGUUCAUGACUAUGUUUGGCCUUUCUCAUUCGUGUAUGAAAUAACUGUUGAACAAGGAAGAAAGAUAAAAUUCCUAUCUGAAAAGAUAGUGCCCACAUGUCUCUGACUGUUCCAUUCUCAACUAUGUUUUUAUUCCUCCUCUUCCUCCUCUUUGAUUACUUGAUUUCUUCUCAUCCAUGGAAGCUCAAAGCAAACAACCUUCUUACCAAAGCACCUUCCUUGUUUGCUAUCAACUAGCAUUCUCGGGAGCUCAAAGCAGUUUUUUCCUUACGUUUCACUUAUUUGGUAUGUAAAUUAUAAAUAUAUUGUUAGGCAAUCAAAUCAUAUUUUCUCUAUAAGUUUACUAAGACUUUGAAGCAAGGGGUACAUGUCUCUUACCUGCAUGGCUUUGUGAACAGCAGCAGCUCUAUUGACUUAUCCCCUCUGAGACAAAACAGGUGGGACAUAGGGAGGAUUAUAAAACACAAGAAGCUCAAGAAGGAGUUGAAUUCCUCUGCCGCUUCCUGCUACCAACACUCUAUCCCCACAAAAUCUGAGAGUGAUCUGUUAGCCAUGAAACCAUGUCUUUGGGGGUUGGUGUCAUAAUUAUCAUUAAAGGGCUUAGCUGUAGGAAAUGGCCUUGCUUUCUAAAUUUCACUGAAAUAGCCUACAUGUCCAGAACAAUUAAGAAUUAUAUAGGUUAGAAAAAAGUGUCUUUUAAAAUUAAAUAGUUGUGCUGUGAUUCAAACUGCCUUGUUUCCAAAUAUCCAUCCUUUUAACCAGGAAGGCACAUUUUCAACAUGACAUAAAAAAAGGGCUGAUAUAACAAAGAAAUUAAAGAAUAUCAAAGCCAACACAGUAAAAAGCAAUGGCAUCCUCAACAAGAAAGGGAAUGUGAAACUGAAUACAGGUACCAGGAAUCAGAAGAGUGCCAGGAAGAGAAUGAUCUUUGUUCUGCAGUAGCAGAGUUGCCUCCUGAGGAGCUGGAGAAAGCAGGCUUGCUUGUGUCACUAAAAGAAGCAAUGUUGACUCAAGGAGAAAUACACAAUGCCAUGAAUUAUAAGGACUGGUGACAGAAAAUGAGUUAGGUUCUCUCUUUCAUCUUCUUCUGGUAUCCCUACACAAGAAUCAUGGGCUAAUAGCAUGUUAGGGCUGGAAGGGGCUUAUAGAACAUCUAGUAUAACUUCCUCUCUUUAUUGGUGUUGCAAGUGAGGCCCAAAGAGAGGAAUUUACCUAACGUGCAGCAGUGCUGCAGAAAAUUCAAAUUCUUUACUUCUAACUAUUCCCAGAAUUGGUCAUUCAUCUCUUCAAAAUAUAUGUGUUGGUGUAAAUAAAAUUAUACCCAAGGGGGUUUUUAAUCUCACACAACUAUAUAUCACAUGGCAGGGACAAACAUUAACAAUCAGAGCCAAGUUGUUACUAUAGUCAAUAAAUUGAAUAACUUAUUUUACCACCUCUUAUUCUUCUACCUUUUUAAAAAGUGUAUAUAUCAAAACAAGCUUCAUCUUACUUAGUGUCCUCAUGCAUGGAUAGAGUUAAAAUGGUUUAGGCAUCAUUUUGCAUUAGAGUUCUGGAAUGUAUGCAGAGCAAGGUUGGAUGGAUUUUUACCAUGUAAGUCAGCCACUAGGCAGUAUUUGUAGUGGAAAUGGGCCUCUAACACUCAUUUCCAAUAGGACAGUAGAAAACAUGGUAUCUACCACCACAGAUCUGCUGUCAAAAGUUUAACCUCCUAUGGGUUAACAUGCGAGUGAUUUAUUUUAUCUUGUGAGCUACUUUGACACCAAAGUAUCUUGAAUGGUCAUAAGUUUGACAAAAAGACCUUUAUGGCUGGUUGAAAUUAAUGACCUCUAAAGUUUGAUUUUACCCUGAGAUCCUGUGAUUCUAAGAGCAGCAGUAGAAAUCCUAGGCAUCUUUCAAGUGUCAUUCUGAACAACAAAAAAAAUAACAUCAGAAGGGAAAAUCUUUUAGACUCAUUAUCUUGCCAUUUCAACCAAUAUAAAUACCAGCUUUAUUUUUUGAAAGCUUUAUUGGAAUUUCUACAUAAGGCUACAUACAUUUCUAAAUAGCUCCCUCAAACUAGAAACUUGUCUAUAAAACAACUGAAAUCAAAUGGAAAGCCCCUUUUCUCAGCCUUAUAUAAGUAAACCUUACUUAUAUAUACCUGAUCAAUAGGGCUAUACUCUCCCUGACAGAUGUUUUCAUUUUUUCUGCCUGAAUAUAAUGUAAAUGGAGCAAAUUCUACCCUAAGGUGCAAUAUUAUACCACAGACUGAUAUAAUAAUAAUUUAUGGCCUAUAUAUUAUAGUUAUAUAAAAUGUCUCAUACCACAUCACCAAUUAUAAGGGGCUGAUCUGCAAUACAACUGAUAGGUUUAGUCCUAUAGGACAUUUCAUUCCAGUUAUAGUUUAAUUUUCAACCUUACUCAUUUGUGAUCUCUCUUUAUAAUUGCCAAAAAGUUCAGGGAUCAUAUGAAGCACUGUUUUUCAAAUGGCCCAUGUGGAAGCAGAAGCCUAGUACAUAUCUUUGAUAAAAGAAUUAACAAGGAUAGUAAUUUAUUAUAUUCUGUAGGGAGAGAAAUUAAUAAUUUAACUACAGAAGAAUUCAGAUGAAUAGGAAAAGAAGAGGAAAAAAAGGAAAACUAGAAAAAAAUUGCUUUCCAGGUUCACAGAAGGCAAACAUCGUGUGGACACUUCCCCAGUGCCUCGGGCUAUGUGGUUAAGACUAAACACACCGUGUGCUCUAUCUUCUAUUUGUUGAACCUCCAGGUGGAACCAGAUUAGCAGAAAGAACGUUUCCUCGGUCAUGAGGGAAUUUAAUUCUUAUCACCUGCUGUGGAAGAUUGGCAACAGCAUUCCUGACCUAAAGAAUAAACUUCUAAUUGUUCUUAAGAAGGUAAUUCCACCAAGGUAAUUCUAGGUCUGCUUCAGCUAUUCCUUAUUUUUGAGUGAUUUUAUUUCAGACUUAAAUCCAUUCCCUUGACGAUAACUGGAGAAAUGAAGCAUAGGAAGAAAAUUGUCCAGAAAGGAUAACACCAAACAUUAAUCUCUUUUGGAACAGAGAGACUCUUUGUUUUUAGUAAACUAGACACAGUUUCAUGGGCAUGUAGGUACUUGAGUGCCCACAAUGCACCAGGCAAUGUGCUGGGGGUGGCAAGAAAUAAAUGCAAUGCUUCUCUACUCUGUGGCAAGCCCUGUGAUAGAACUUUUUACACGCCAUCUCAGCAGACCCUGCAUUUGUCUAAUGUCUAUUUCAUGCUUUUUACACCUGUGUAAGGCAGUCUAUAAGGUGGCUCCCAACUGUCUCAGCCUCCUGGUAUUCAUACCCUUGAUUAUUCCCUCCCCUUAAAUGUCCUAUACUUAUUGACUCACUUCUAAGUGAUGAAUAGAAUACAGUAGAGGUGACAGGAUGUCACUUUCAAGAUUAGAUUGAAAACAACAAUGGCUUCCACCUUCUCCCCAACCCUCAAUCAAAGACAGCUAUUAAGUUGUAAGCUGUCCUGUAGAAAGGCUCUUGUGCCAAUGAAGUAUUAUCUGUGGCCAACAGUCCACAAUGACUAAGGCCUGCCACCAGCCAUAGGUAAGGGCUUGGAAGCAGAUCUCUCCCAAGUUGAGGUGACUGAAGCCCUGGCUGUCACCUCGGUUGCAGCCUUAUGGAGGGACUCUAAGCCAGAGGCACCCAGCUAAGCCACAUCUGGAUUCCUGACCUGCAAAAAUUAGGAGGUAAUGCCUUGUUGAUUUUUGAGCUGCUACGUUUUGGAGUUAUUUGUUAUGCAGCAAUAGAGAACUAAUAUAACACCAUUUCCUCCUCUCUAGUCACCAUUAUUUAGAAACAACUCCAUGAAUGAACAAUGAGAAUCAAGAGCUGGGAAUCAAUAGUUGAGGUGACAGAUUAGGCAACAGCAUGAUGGCCAGCACGUGUCUCACCCAGAAGCUGUCCUCUUCCUUCUUAUAAGACAAGGCUCUAACUCAUGAGGAUGGUUUUUACCACAAAGUUGCACGAGGUGCUUGAAUUUACCACAAAGUUGCAGGAGGUGCUUGACUAGUACAGGAGCACAGCUAAAAAAGGCUCUGCAGACCAAGUCUUCCAUAUUGAUCACAUCUUAGCUAACACUGCUAUGGCUUAAUUGGGCAAACGGCCAAUGGCAUCUGAUCUGCCAUUUUCCAUUUCUCUCAAAAACUAGUUAAGGUAUGGGAAGGACAUCUACCUCAUUUUCCUCUCCUGCCUCCCCGCCUGCCACACACAUUGAGGGCCAAGAAUGGCUCUUUGUAAAGCUACUUGAAAUAAAUGCUACAGGCCUCGUCCUGCUUGGAAGUAAAUCUGGAUGGAAUGUAAUCAAACAGCAUGCAUUUGGCAUCAACUUAUGUUUGAGCAUUGCAGGUAUAAAAAUGAAAAAUAUGUUUUGGCAGAGAGUUGGACAGAAAGGAAGACUUAAUUAAAUAUCUGAAAUAUACACCACUGGAACCAAUUAAUAAUCAUCAAGGGAUCAGAAAAGGAAGGACAGUAAUAAAAAGAGUUUAUAAAGUCGAAAUUUCAGGUGAGAGGGAAAAAAUCCUAUCCACAUUCUUCUGAAUCUCUGAAUUGGUAAGCAACACUUUAUUUUUCAUUUUCCUAACUAAUAUUUAUGCAUUGUCAAUGUCCUACUGCCUUCAAUAAGUUUACAAUCUAACUGGGAGACCAAAAUCUCUAAAAUGCAAUAAUGUGUGCAUCAAAACUCAAGUUCUUAUCAGGGACUGAUUACUUUGGAGUCCUCAGCUCCAUCUCCUAACCCAUGUAUACACUUUCAUAGUUCCUCUUCAGAAAGGAACUAUUUUUAUUCUGUAAAAAUCUAGUGGUCAAAUGAAAUGGGUAUGCUUUAUAGGUAAGGAUCCUGAAGCAAAAAUCAAAUGCAUAAAGAUUACACGGCAAAUGAAGUAAGAGAUUUUUAAGCUCUGACACCAUUUGAUUUUUAGUUUUUUCUAUCACAAAAUAGUGCUAAUAGCUUAUAAAAUUAAAAUAAGUAAAAGUAGCUUUGUUAAAGCAGAAAGAAACUUACACUUCCCUACAACAAUUUGCAAACUUAAGUCAAAUGAUCAAUGAUCAAAUAGCAGAGGCUGGAGUGUGCCCAAGGGGGACUUGAUCUUAUUCUGGGUGUUUUAGCCCAAGCAGAAAUCAAUGCAGGGUUUUCUGCCACCUGCUUAUUUUGUUUCCAGUCAAGCAAAACAAGGGGCUUAUCUCCCUCACAGAUCAGCAUAUGAGAUAUGCUUCAGAUAUGUUUGCCUGUCAGACUCAUAAACACAACAAGAUAUGCCAGCUGCAAUGAAGAGAAGCCCUGUUUCAGUUCGUGGAUUACAGACUGCAACAUCCAUCAGCAUCAAGACAAACACCUUCAAACUACUGUCCUUGGCGUCCAGCCUAACAGAUCUGAGGAAUGUGAUAAAGGAACACUGGAUUCCCAAGGUCUGCUCAGGUUUCCUUCCAUAACAAGAAGUAGCCAAAUACAGCUGAACAGGCCUGCUGAAACCACUGAUUUCUUUCGUUUAAGUUCAGAGGUUCGUAACCUGCUCAAUGGUUUAAACAACAACAACAAGCAGUAUCGGAAGUCAGCAUCAUCUACUCAGCAGCCCAAAUCUGGAAGGUUUUGGAAAAAAUCAGGACACCACUGUUAACCACCUUAACAAGACUGCAAACACAGGCUGUCUAUUCCUCAUCAACAGAAUCUUUGAUACUGGCAAUUUGUUUAGAUUGGCUUGCAGAAGCAUAUAUUGGUAGCUAUGUUAUGAAUAUUUACCGGUUUCAUACACAUUCAUAAAAAUCAGAAACAUUUUCCUCCUAGGUAUCUGCAUUGGUCUUGAAUGGCUGUUUAAAAAUAAUCAGAAACCCCCACUCAUUCAAGAAUGACUCUUACCUACAACCCAAAUAAGCCAUACAGACAAGGGUAGAUCUCAGAUGAAUGAUAAUCAAGGGCCCUGUUAAAAUCUUCUGAAAUCAAAAAUAAAUAGUAAUUACUUUAUUAUCUAUCUGCCUAUCUAUUCAACCAUUCACAUUCUUUAAAAUUUUUGUAGGUACAUAGUAGGUGUACAUAUUUAUGGGGCAUAAGUUAUAUUUUGAUAUGGGCAUAAAUGUGUAAUAAUCACAUCAGGGUAAAUGGGGUAGCCAUCACCUCAAGCAUUUAUCCUAUUACAAGCAAU